rnacentral:rRNA from 1 species
AUUGAACGCUGACGGCAUGCCUUACACAUGCAAGUCGAACGGCAGCACGGGAGCAAUCCUGGUGGCGAGUGGCGAACGGGUGAGUAAUAUAUCGGAACGUGCCCAGUAGUGGGGGAUAACUGCUCGAAAGAGCAGCUAAUACCGCAUACGACCUGAGGGUGAAAGGGGGGGAUCGCAAGACCUCUCGCUAUUGGAGCGGCCGAUAUCAGAUUAGCUAGUUGGUGGGGUAAAGGCCUACCAAGGCAACGAUCUGUAGUUGGUCUGAGAGGACGACCAACCACACUGGGACUGAGACACGGCCCAGACUCCUACGGGAGGCAGCAGUGGGGAAUUUUGGACAAUGGGCGCAAGCCUGAUCCAGCAAUGCCGCGUGCAGGAAGAAGGCCUUCGGGUUGUAAACUGCUUUUGUCAGGGAAGAAAUCCUCUAGGUUAAUACCCUUGGGGGGAUGACGGUACCUGAAGAAUAAGCACCGGCUAACUACGUGCCAGCCGCCGCGGUAAAAC